GCCCGUGUAGCUCAGUGGUUAGAGCGUCUGUCUCGUAAACAGAAGGUCCCAGGUUCGAAUCCUGGUCCGGGCA
rnacentral:tRNA from 1 species